ACGAAUGCUGGCGGCGUGCUUAACACAUGCAAGUGGAGCGACGAACCAGGCUUCGGCCUGGGGCAAAGCCGCGAACGGGUGAGUAACACGUGGGUAACGUGCCCCGAUGACCGGGACAACCCGAGGAAACUCGGGCUAAUACCGGAUGUGCUGUGCAGCCACGAGGCAGCACAGCAAAGGAAGCUUCGGCCUCCGCAUUGGGAGCGGCCCGCGGCCCAUUAGCUUGUUGGGAGGUAACGGCUCACCAAGGCCACGAUGGGUAGCUGGUCUGAGAGGACGAUCAGCCGCACUGGGACUGAGACACGGCCCAGACUCCUACGGG
rnacentral:rRNA from 1 species